rnacentral:rRNA from 1 species
CGUAGGGGGCAAACGUUGUCCGGAUUUACUGGGUGUAAAGGGUGCUCAGGCGGUUUUGUAAGUCAGAAGUGAAAUCCUAGGGCUUAACUCUGGAACUGCUUUGGAUACUGCAAGGCUUGAAUAUGGAAGAGGAGGGCGGAAUUUCUGGUGUAGCAGUGAAAUGCGUAGAUAUCAGAAAGAACACCAGUGGCGAAGGCGGCCCUCUGGUCCAUUAUUGGCGCUAAAGCACGAAAGCGUGGGGAGCAAACAGGAUUAGAUACCCUGGUAGUCCACGCCUUAAACGAUGAAUACUAGACGUUGGGGUUAAACUCAGUGUCGCAGCUAACGCAUUAAGUAUUCCACCUGGGGAGUACGAUCGCAAGGUUG